UCCAUGAAUGGUGGUGCACCUGUCGUCCCAGCUACUCAGGAGGCUGAGGCAGGAGGAUCACUUGAGCCCAGGAGUUCUGGGCUGUAGUGUGCUUUCCCGAUUGGGUGUUCACACUAAGUUCGGCAUCAAUAUGAUGACCUCCUUGGAGCGGGGACCACCAGGUUGCCUAAGGAAGGGUGAACCGUCCCAGGUUGGAAACGGAGCAGGUCAAAACUCCUGUGCUGAUCUGUAAUUCUCCUUUUUGAUGGUGUCUUUGCCUGGUUUGGGAAUCAAGGUAAUACUGGCCUCAU
ensembl:misc_RNA Metazoa_SRP Metazoan signal recognition particle RNA